UGGGGAAUCUUGCACAAUGGAGGCAACUCUGAUGCAGCGACGCCGCGUGAGCGAUGAAGCCCUUCGGGGUGUAAAGCUCUUUCGACGGGAACGAUAAUGACGGUACCCGGAGAAGAAGCUGCGGCUAACUACGUGCCAGCAGCCGCGGUAAUACGUAGGCAGCAAGCGUUGUUCGGAAUUAUUGGGCGUAAAGAGUGCGUAGGCGGUGUUCCAAGUCUGUCGUGAAAUCUCCCGGCUUAACUGGGAGGGUGCGGCGGAAACUGGGAUGCUAGAGGGUGGGAGAGGUAAGCGGAAUUCCUGGUGUAGCGGUGAAAUGCGUAGAUAUCAGGAGGAACACCUGUGGUGUAGACAGCUUACUGGACCACUUCUGACGCUGAGGCACGAAAGCGUGGGUAGCAAACAGG
rnacentral:rRNA from 1 species